CGGGGGCGGUGACGGAGAAGCCAUUUCUGUUGACUACUCCUUGUCCUUGAGGCCUAUGAAAGACCGUAGAACUGAAACGGAGUACUCCUUUCAGGCCGGUUCGGGAUCUGUGGCGCAGUAACGGGAAAUCGAACGAAGAAUCCGAAGCCGUCGAUGCUGAUUCGUCAGGUAAUCCUAGCCGAACGAUUUGAGGUAAUUUUGGCUCGGCCUUUCCUAACAGCUGUCUAUAGUAGAGUUUUCGUUUGACCAUUAUUCAGUUAUGUAUUAAAAUUACUAUUUAGUGAGGUUUCUUCUGUUAAAAUAGCA
rnacentral:misc_RNA from 1 species